GACGAACGCUGGCGGCGUGCCUAAUACAUUCAAGUAGAACGCUGAAGGAGGAGCUUGCUUCUCUGGAUGAGUUGCGAACGGGUGAGUAACGCGUAGGUAACCUGCCUGGUAGCGGGGGAUAACUAUUGGAAACGAUAGCUAAUACCGCAUAAGAGUAGAUGUUGCAUGACAUUUGCUUAAAAGGUGCAAUUGCAUCACUACCAGAUGGACCUGCGUUGUAUUAGCUAGUUGGUGGGGUAACGGCUCACCAAGGCGACGAUACAUAGCCGACCUGAGAGGGUGAUCGGCCACACUGGGACUGAGACACGGCCCAGACUCCUACGGGAGGCAGCAGUAGGGAAUCUUCGGCAAUGGACGGAAGUCUGACCGAGCAACGCCGCGUGAGUGAAGAAGGUUUUCGGAUCGUAAAGCUCUGUUGUAAGAGAAGAACGGGUGUGAGAGUGGAAAGUUCACACUGUGACGGUAUCUUACCAGAAAGGGACGGCUAACUACGUG
rnacentral:rRNA from 1 species